AUUGAACGCUGGCGGAAUGCUUUACACAUGCAAGUCGAGCGGCAGCGCGGGGGCAACCCUGGCGGCGAGCGGCGAACGGGUGAGGAAUACAUCGGAACGUACCCCGGAGUGGGGGAUAACGCCGCGAAAGCGGCGCUAAUACCGCAUAUGCUCUGAGGAGGAAAGUGGGGGACCUGCAAGGGCCUCACGCUCUGGGAGCGGCCGAUGUCCGAUUAGCUAGUUGGUGGGGUAAAGGCCCACCAAGGCGACGAUCGGUAGCUGGUCUGAGAGGAUGAUCAGCCACACUGGGACUGAGACACGGCCCAGACUCCUACGGGAGGCAGCAGUGGGGAAUUUUGGACAAUGGGGGGCAACCCUGAUCCAGCCAUGCCGCGUGCGGGAAGAAGGCCUUCGG
rnacentral:rRNA from 1 species